rnacentral:rRNA from 1 species
AAAUUGAAGAGUUUGAUCAUGGCUCAGAUUGAACGCUGGCGGCAGGCCUAACACAUGCAAGUCGAACGGUAACAGGAAGCAGCUUGCUGCUUUGCUGACGAGUGGCGGACGGGUGAGUAAUGUCUGGGAAACUGCCUGAUGGAGGGGGAUAACUACUGGAAACGGUGGCUAAUACCGCAUAACGUCGCAAGACCAAAGAGGGGGACCUUCGGGCCUCUUGCCAUCAGAUGUGCCCAGAUGGGAUUAGCUAGUUGGUGAGGUAACGGCUCACCAAGGCGACGAUCCCUAGCUGGUCUGAGAGGAUGACCAGCCACACUGGAACUGAGACACGGUCCAGACUCCUACGGGAGGCAGCAGUGGGGAAUAUUGCACAAUGGGCGCAAGCCUGAUGCAGCCAUGCCGCGUGUAUGAAGAAGGCCUUCGGGUUGUAAAGUACUUUCAGCGGGGAGGAAGGUGUUGUGGUUAAUAACCACAGCAAUUGACGUUACCCGCAGAAGAAGCACCGGCUAACUCCGUGCCAGCAGCCGCGGUAAUACGGAGGGUGCAAGCGUUAAUCGGAAUUACUGGGCGUAAAGCGCACGCAGGCGGUCUGUCAAGUCGGAUGUGAAAUCCCCGGGCUCAACCUGGGAACUGCAUUCGAAACUGGCAGGCUUGAGUCUUGUAGAGGGGGGUAGAAUUCCAGGUGUAGCGGUGAAAUGCGUAGAGAUCUGGAGGAAUACCGGUGGCGAAGGCGGCCCCCUGGACAAAGACUGACGCUCAGGUGCGAAAGCGUGGGGAGCAAACAGGAUUAGAUACCCUGGUAGUCCACGCCGUAAACGAUGUCUACUUGGAGGUUGUGCCCUUGAGGCGUGGCUUCCGGAGCUAACGCGUUAAGUAGACCGCCUGGGGAGUACGGCCGCAAGGUUAAAACUCAAAUGAAUUGACGGGGGCCCGCACAAGCGGUGGAGCAUGUGGUUUAAUUCGAUGCAACGCGAAGAACCUUAC